rnacentral:rRNA from 1 species
GACGAACGCUGGCGGCGUGCUUAACACAUGCAAGUCGAACGGUGAAGCACCUUCCUUUUGGUGGGUGUGGAUGAGUGGCGAACGGGUGAGUAACACGUGAGUAACCUGCCCCCUUCUUCUGGAUAACCGCAUGAAAGUGUGGCUAAUACGGGAUAUUCUGUGCCUGCUGCAUGGUGGGUGUGGGAAAGAUGCGCUUUUGGGUGUUUUUGGUGGGGGGUGGGCUCGAGGCCUAUCAGCUUGUGGGGGGGGUGAUGGGCUACCAAGGCGGUGACGGGAAGCCGGCCUGAGAGGGUGGACGGUCACACUGGGACUGAGACACGGCCCAGACUCCUACGGGAGGCAGCAGUGGGGAAUAUUGCACAAUGGGCGCAAGCCUGAUGCAGCGACGCCGCGUGAGGGAUGGAGGCCUUCGGGUUGUAAACCUCUUUCGCCAGUGAAGCAGGCCUGUCCCUUGUGGGUGGGUUGACGGUAGCUGGAUAAGAAGCGCCGGCUAACUACGU